GUAAUCACCAACUCCACGCACUCUCUUCGUCAUCUGUGUCAUCACGGGAGCUCUACUAGACAACUAGGGUGGCAUGCAGAAGGUGAAGGCCUGCGUGGGGUUGGUGCUGUACUCGUCCACCUCCACCGUCGUCCUGUUACCUCGCUGGGCCUGAGACUGAGCCUGUGACUGCUGCCGCCGCGCCGCCAUGAUCUCUGACAGGGUGAAGGCCAUGGCACGGGCGACCCAGAGCAGAGUAGGUGGAGGAGCGCGAGGUGUCAGCAGCUGGAUACGUGGUUGGAGUGUGAUGCCUUCACCCUGGAGCAAGAGAGGGCCAUUGCUUUACAUGACAUCACAUUCAUUUAGCAAGCGCUUUUGUCCAAAGUGACUUCCAAUAAGUUCACCAUGGAGAUAUUACCCAAAAGUGCAAGAAUCGAUUACAUAAACUGUGCAGUUGAUUAAUUCCAAAAAUAGCAAAGUGGUCAUUUUCAUUAUUUUACAUUCAGUAAUAACUAUACAAAUGGUGAUAAGAUGCUAAUCUGUACAAAAUAAAUAAAAAGAAAGAAAGACAUUGGUUAUGAUAAUUCUCCCCCUUAAAAUUAUAAAGGUUGCAAUGGGUAAAAUAAAUGGUUGUGCUGAUGGAGCGUUUGACUUCAUCUGAGAGAUGAUAUAACUGUUCUCUGUUGUACACAAUGAGCUACCAACCACAUGAUGCCAGCAGCACCUCCUGGCACCACACAUUAAAACAGCACUCAUAAUAAAACUAAUAUUAGUUCAGAGUAGAAUAGU